UUUACCACUGGAGUCGUGUUCCUCCAAGGUUAUUCUCAUUAUUUUCACCAACAGAGAUUCGGCAUUUUGAAAACUGGAGUUGAUGUACUGUCGAAGAUCUUGAAGAUUUUGAGAUUCCAAGUUUAAACUUCUGUUCUUGUCGCUUGGCGAGUUCGCUGUGGCAGUGGACCGAUCUAAAACUGUAAGGAAAAUAAACCUUAAACAUCAUAUUCACGAAUCGAAUCAGUAUUUGUAAUAGUGCAAGUGAUAACAAAUGUCAGCUACGGCGUAGAAAGGGAUCAUAAUACAUCAAUCUGGACUAACAUCGGGAACAAUUCGCUACUCGACCAGUUUCUCACCAAUGAGGUUUUGUGAUUAUGAUUUCGACUGUUUUGUCACAUGUGCGAUGGAUGAUUCUAGUUAGUCUCACCGGACCUCCUGUUCGAACGCUGGACCACAAAAGGCUGCUUUCCAGUUAAGCGUUUUUCAUACGUACGUAUACGCAAAGUCUUUUAUGAAAUAAUUAAAUGAAUAAAAAGCACAUCAUUUAGUUUUGUGUGUGAUUUAAAGUGUACUUGUUGAGGUAAUUAAUACGUUAUUUCGACAUUUAAAAAGCACGCUGGGG
rnacentral:lncRNA from 1 species